CUGAGGGUGCAUGGUUAUGUUGUGCGAUUAGAUCCAUCUAUGAAUUGUUUGUGCUUCUACAUUUAGGAACAAUGGGCAAUUAGGAUUUUUUAUGUAUGUUUUGAAUGAUUCUUAAUUGUUGCAGUAACAGUGACAAGAUAGGUUGUUUAAUUAUGUCCUCAUUGCAAUAUCAUUGGUAAAGUAGGCAGUAGUCAUAGGAUAUUCUGUACCAAGGUUGCUUUUUAUAUGAAUUACUUGAACUAAAUAACAACAAUGUAUGAUCUGUCUAGGAAUAAGAUUGUUUAUAUCAUAUUGUAUACAUGCUGAAAGUAGCAGCAAGCAGCAGAUUUCCUAAACUAUGUUCCCAAGUAGUUCACAUGUAAUUGUGUGUUCUUGAAGUGCAGAGCAAUCCACCACAACCACGACGCGAAGGACUCCAAGCUACAAUUUCUGCAUCACUAAAACAAAAAAACAACAGUAAUGCAUCCAAGUUCUGAACCUGGAACACUAUGAAGAUGCAAGGGCUUGCUGCAUAUGGAUAUUUGUUUUGCCUAUUGGUUUAUUUAGGAUCUAGAUCACCGAUGACUGAGUCAUAUGUAAAUAUAUUUUUAUCAUACCAAAAGUGUCUCGAACAUAUAUUAUAUAUGAAACUAUGGAUCAACUUCUUGUAAUGCAAUUAUUGAUUUUUAAUAUAUAUUAUUUUUUCUUCUU